CAAUCCUACUAUUCAAGGCAGUGCAAAGGUUAAAGAACUUGAAGCUACUGUAUUAAGUCAAUCAUAGAGGCUUGCUCAGGUUGAAGCAAAGCUUGAAGCUCUUUUAAAGGCCACUCAGGAGGGACCUUCUCAACAGAACAGAAACUUAGAGAAAAUGAUAAAUGCACAUGCAACUACUUCUCAGUCACAACAAUCAAGUCGACCAAUCAAUGCUCCAAGCAAUGAUCUCGCAGAAUGAA